CAUAUAUAUAUAUAAUUUGCAUAUGUAUAUACCAUACAGUUCAGAUAGCUACCAAGGUUCUCAGAACGUAUUCUGUGGAUUAGGUGGACGACAGCAAUGUCUAAAAUUAUGGAAACAUAAAUAUAUAGAUAAAACACAAUGUGACUGAUGUAUGAAACAAAAAAUCUAUGUGAAGACACAUCAAAAUUGAUGCUAAACACAGAGGAAAAAUUUAGAUUAUGCCAGAGAAAAAAUUGUCUUUUGCAUUUUCUCUAUUGAAAGUCACAUACAAAAACAAAAACAUGAAAAAGUAGCAUAAGAGGUGACAAGAUUGAUUCUUAUGAAUAAGAAUAUUUGUUUUUUUUUCCUGGAUUCUAUGGUUUUGGUAGUUUGUGGCUUAGGAAAACUAAUGGUUUUUGCUGACUAAAUGUUAGUGUCAGUGCCUAUUUGAGUUUGUAAUUUUUAUUACAUCCUUUUUAUUUUAACAGAGGGACCCCAAAGAGAUUAAUGUUCUGUGCUAUUACACUGUAUCUACUCUUGAAUCACUAGCAGGAAGAAGAAAAUAAUAAUCUCUGCACAUUGAAUUCAUGUCUCAAAAACAUACUUAUGAACAUCCCAAUAUACAAAAUAAAUAUUCUUUCGUUGAUAAUGGAAAUAGUAUUUCAAAAUUUGUUUAAAAUCAGCAGUGAACACAGUUCCACAGAAUGAAACCAUCACUUUGCAUGUAGAAACAAUAUUCUGUGGAGCAAAAAAUGCAUCCUAAAGGAACAAAUAGGAAAACAUUGAAUCCUGGGGCCACCAGGGACCAGUAGUGGGCCCUGAAGGAUGUUAGUGGUCCUCUCUCCUGUCUAUUCUGGGAUGGUGGAUGAUAUGAACCAGACCUCUCUGUUCAGAGGACCCUUCUGCUAGGCACAAAUGGAUGCUUCCAUUUGUCAAAUGAUUUUUCUCUAUAGUUGAGAUUUCUAUGUUUUGUCCUUUCAUUAAACUAAUAUGGCAAACAGACUCAUUUUAUUAAACCCUAUACUAUGGAUAUGAAUGACUUUUUGUGAGAUAUAAUCCUUCUUAGGAUUUGCUGGCUCCAACUUGGUCAUGUUUUAUGAAGAUUUCUGGGAGGAUGCUCUUGAGGUUUGCUAGCAUGUAGGCUUCUUUUCCAUAUAAUGUGUUUAGUUUGAGUAUUAUCAGGGAUGUCAUUAGAGUAUUUGGAAUAUAGAAAAAUAUUUGAUGAAAAACAUUAUGAACUGAGCAUGGUGACACCUUACCUGCAGUAUCAGCUCUUAAAGCAUGAGGCAGUAGAAUUGUAAAUUUGAGACUAGCUUAGACUACAGAGAGAUGCCAACUCACAAAACAAACCACAUAGUAUAAAACAAAUUGUCCUAUGCAGGACAUAGUGAAAGCAGGAAGGGAAAAGGAACUUUUUGUUUGUUUACUUUCUAAUGCAUGAACAUAAAGUCCCAUUGUAGUAUUCAUCUCUUCCUAGUUAAGUCCAGGAACCAUCGCUUCCAGGUCUUUAUCUUCCACUUCCAGAAGUGUCACUUCUGGCUCAUUUCUAAUCUCACAUCUUGAGAAACUCAGCAAUGCUGAUUUAUUCACAGUGCCAGAACUCAUCUGCAUUGAAGCAGUAGAGAUCUUCCUGCCUCUGCAGUUCCCUACUGCCAGUCACAUCAGUCCUCAAGAGGCUCCCAUUGUCAGCUGUCCAGGAACACUGGGUUCCAAGGAAGCACAGGGAAGGCUACUACUGGCCUUUGUAAGAUGACUGCAUAGCUCUGAUGCAGCCAACCUCAAGUGCUGGGAUUUCACAAAGGCAGAAGUUUGUCACAUCCAGAAGACCCUAUCUAGCUCAUUCCCUCAGGAUGACAUCUGCUCUCUUCUGCAUAUAUUCAUAUAAAAGAAUACAAUUAGAUCCCAGGUGCAUGAACUGGCUUUUUGGAGCCCAUGGGUCUAGAGUCCAUGAGUGCCCAGGGGCUCAGGUCAGGUGUCUCUGUGGGUUUCUCAGUCAUGAUCUUGACACACCUUGCUCAUAUAAUCUCUCCUCCCUCUCUUCAUCUGGACUCCUGGAGUUUAGCCUAUGGCUUGGUUGUGGAUCUCUGCCCCUGCUUCCAUCAGUUUGGAUGAAGAUUCUAUGAUGACAAUUAGGGCAGUCAGCAAUCUGAUUACAGGAGAAGUCCAGUUUAGUCACUCUCUCCACUAUUCCUAGGAGUCUUAUCUGGGGCCAUCCUUUGUACUCCUGGGAGUUUCCCUGGCAGCAGGUCACUCCUUAACCCUGAAAACUGGGAUGGGAGGUAUAGAGGAGAGGGGAUGGGGGAUGGGAACAUGAGGAAUCAGGAUGGUCAAGUUAGGGGAGGGAUAUCCUAGUGUCUCUGGGUCUGUGGAUUGUAGCAUAGUUAUCCUUUACUUUACAGUUAAUGUCCACUUAUGAGUGAGUGAAGCUGGGCAGUGGUGGUGCACGCCUUUAAUUCCAUUACUUGGGAGGCAGAGACAGGAGGAUCUCUAUGAGUUCAAGGCUAGACUGGUUUACAAAGCUACACAUAGAGACACCCUAUCUCAAAAAACAAACAAACAAAAAGAAGCUCCUCACUUAUGAGCGAGUGAGUACAUACCAUGUUUGUCUUUGUUGGUCCAGGUUACCUCACUCAGGAUGAUUUUUUUCUAGUUCCAUCUGUUUGCCUUCAAACUUCUUGGUGUCCUUGUUUUUUGUUAAAAAAACAAAGUAAUACUGAG
rnacentral:lncRNA from 1 species